UACGUAGGGGCCAAGCGUUGUCCGGAUUUAUUGGGCGUAAAGAGCUCGUAGGCGGUUUGGCAAGUCGGGUGUGAAAACUCCGGGCUCAACUCGGAGACGCCACUCGAUACUGCCAUGACUCGAGUCCGGUAGGGGAGUGCGGAAUUCCUGGUGUAGCGGUGAAAUGCGCAGAUAUCAGGAGGAACACCGGUGGCGAAGGCGGCACUCUGGGCCGGUACUGACGCUGAGGAGCGAAAGCGUGGGGAGCGAACAGG
rnacentral:rRNA from 1 species